CUUCACUUUGGGCUCUGAACUGUGUCUUGAAAUAAAACCUGAGCACUCAAACAUUCCAUUUGGUCACAGAUAAGCAAUCAAUCCAUCUCUGCCAGCCAGGCUUUAGAGAUACUAUAAAGGUAUUGACCAAGUACACUGGGAUGGCUUCACGGGAGGCGAAACAUGAUACUGUACGCGGCACCUGAGCCAAAAUCGUUCACUCUCAGCGAGGCUGUUCUCAGGGGUAUCAGGGACAAUUAUGGGCACGUCUGUUCAGCAUUAUGUGUCCGAAAGCCUCAAACCCUCUUUAGAGCCUCGUCUCACCAGACCUUGACCUCCGGGGCGGGUGUUGCUGAAACACAGAGCUGCUGAAACUGAACAGGAAGGCAGAGCGAGGCUGCCAUCAUGGAUCUGAUUAUCGCUCAGGAUCAAAGACCCUUAUUAGAUGCUGCUUCCUUCCAGCAUUGUCAGGCACCCUGGAUAACUAGCGAGGUCUUUCCGCAGAGGCCAGGAUGUGAAAGGGGAAGAGAGGGGGAUGCUGUGAUGCAGUGAUUCCCGAGCCCUGAGUGAUUCCUGAGUUCACUUCAAACAAUAUAGGAGUGAGGCUCGGGGAGGAAGAAGAUGAAAGCGAUCGGUGGUCCUGACCUGGGAGAUUAGCCGAGCGUGUGCUACCUCCGCCAGCC
ensembl:lncRNA